GGCCGCAUGGCUCAAUGGUUAAGAGCCUGGCAUAGCGUAAGUCGACGAAGCGCCGCUGGAUAGGUUCGAAUCCUAUUGCGACCG